CCUUACUCACUGUAGCUGUAUAGACAGUGGGGUCAAGCAAGUGGCUCGUUGGAGCUCCGAAGUGAUGGCGGCCAUGGAGACCCGGGGUCACCUUCCUAUCCUAUUCUGUUGGGUACAUUUAUGACUUCGAAAAUUCUAAUUUCCACCCUGCUCCCAGAUCUCCCCGCUGCCUGCCACACCCCGCCACCUCUGACCCUGGGGGCUAGACACCAUGAGAAGGACAUGCCUUCACUAGCCACUGAUCCCAGAAAGAAAAUGAGACAUACUUGGAGCUCCCUUGAGCCAGCUGGACCUGAAGCUGAAAGUGGAGCUUAACUCUGCAGCCAACCGCCAGCCCGGCAAAAAAGGUAAAGAAGGAACAGGGGGACUAUACAACAGGAAAAGUCUCGAAGAGCCGAUCUGGUUUUCUCCAUCUCUAACUUCUGCAUGGCCGCUGGAAGGACGAGGUCUAACCCGUUU
rnacentral:lncRNA from 1 species